rnacentral:rRNA from 1 species
GAUCUUGACAUCCAUUGACCAUCUUUUAAUCGAGAUUUUGCCUUCGGGUACGAAUUGAGACAGGUGGUGCAUGGUUGUCGUCAGCUCGUGUCGUGAGAUGUUGGGUUAAGUCCCGCAACGAGCGCAACCCUUGUGUUUAGUUACCAUCAUUAAGUUGGGUACUUUAAAGUAACCGCCGGUGAUAAGCCGGAGGAAGGUGGGGAUGACGUCAAGUCCUCAUGGCCCUUACGCGCUGGGCUACACACGUGCUACAAUGGCAAGUACAGUGGGCAGCAAUCCCGCGAGGGUGAGCUAAUCUCCAAAACUUGUCUCAGUUCGGAUUGUUCUCUGCAACUCGAGAGCAUGAAGGCGGAAUCGCUAGUAAUCGCGGAUCAGCAUGCCGCGGUGAAUACGUUCCCAGGCCUU